rnacentral:rRNA from 1 species
CUACGGGCGGCAGCAGUGAGGAAUAUUGGUCAAUGGGCGAGAGCCUGAACCAGCCAUCCCGCGUGCAGGAUGACGGCCCUAUGGGUUGUAAACUGCUUUUCCAUACCAAGAAACCUGAUUACGUGUAAUUAGUUGCCGGUAGUAUGGGAAUAAGCAUCGGCUAACUCCGGGCCAGCAGCCGCGGUAAUACGGAGGAUGCAAGCGUUAUCCGGAUUCAUUGGGUUUAAAGGGUGCGCAGGUGGGCUUAUAAGUCAGUGGUGAAAUGUUGCCGCUUAACGGUAAAAUUGCCAUUGAUACUGCAAGUCUUGAAUAUAGUUGAGGUAGGCGGAAUGUGUUGUGUAGCGGUGAAAUGCAUAGAUAUGACACAGAACACCGAUUGCGAAGGCAGCUUACUAAGCUAUUAUUGACGCUGAGGCACGAAAGCGUGGGGAUCGAACAGGAUUAGAUACCCCGGUAGUC